CCUACGGGAGGCAGCAGUGGGGAAUUUUGGACAAUGGGCGAAAGCCUGAUCCAGCAAUGCCGCGUGAGUGAAGAAGGCCUUCGGGUUGCAAAGCUCUUUUGUCAGGGAAGAAACGGUGAGAGCUAAUAUCUCUUGCUAAUGACGGUACCUGAAGAAUAAGCACCGGCUAACUACGUGCCAGCAGCCGCGGUAAUACGUAGGGUGCAAGCGUUAAUCGGAAUUACUGGGCGUAAAGCGUGCGCAGGCGGUUUUGUAAGUCUGAUGUGAAAUCCCCGGGCUCAACCUGGGAAUUGCAUUGGAGACUGCAAGGCUAGAAUCUGGCAGAGGGGGGUAGAAUUCCACGUGUAGCAGUGAAAUGCGUAGAUAUGUGGAGGAACACCGAUGGCGAAGGCAGCCCCCUGGGUCAAGAUUGACGCUCAUGCACGAAAGCGUGGGGAGCAAACAGGAUUAGAUACCCUGGUAGUCCACGCCCUAAACGAUGUCUACUAGUUGUCGGGUCUUAAUUGACUUGGUAACGCAGCUAACGCGUGAAGUAGAACCGCCUGGGGAGUUACGGUCGCAAGAUUAAAACUUCAAAGGAAUUGACGG
rnacentral:rRNA from 1 species